AGCAGAUAGACACCUUUCCAGAGAUAACCAGAGCUGAAAUAGACUUUUUCCUUAGAUAACUGGAUAACCUUUGAAGAAGCAAACCUAACCCUAAAUUCUAAGAUGGAUCAUUUUUCCAUAUUAACUACAAAGCCAACAUUUUGGGGGGAGGAAUGACACAAAGAAUGGGAUCCUUGUGAAACAGAAUGGACCACUAAAUGACCAUGCUCAAAGUGGCGGCCUUCUGCCUGCUAGAAGUUCAGAGUUUCCAAAGAUGAAUUCAGAGUCUAAGAGCACCACGCUAUGGAUAAUCGCCUCAGACAGCAACGUGGCUCCACCAGGGAAAGUCUUCAUGUGCCCCAACACCUCCAUGCAGUUCCACGGAUCAAAUUCAGAUUGCCAGCUUUGCACAGCAAGUACUUCUGCCAACUGAGUCAGCUCCCCAGGCCCCAGAGAACUAUUUCUUCAAAGAAGCCUGUAUCUUUUCCCUUCCC
rnacentral:lncRNA from 1 species